AUAAUUUUUUGAAUUUGGUUUGUGUAGGUGAUCAUGAAGAUGUUCCAAAACAUGGUCGUCCACCAACACAAGAAGAAUUGCAUCAAUUCUUUCUUCCCUUUCGUGGUUUUUGUGCUAGAAAAGGGAUUGAAGCAAAAGAAUUGGUUUUACAUGACAUUGAUGUUCCUAGUGCACUUACUGAUUAUGUUGUUGACAACUCUAUCAACAAUGUUAUUGUUGGUGGUUGUGCUUCCCCUUGGAGUGCUUUUAUAAGGAGAUUUAAAGAAGUAAAUGUUGCAUCUUCCUUAGCUAAAUCUUUACCAGAGUCAUGUACAUUACAUGUUAUAUCAAAAGGAAAAGUACAAAAAAUUCGACCAACAGGGCCUCCUAUUCCUGAACAUGAUGAAACUAGUACUCAACCUCAAAAUAUUGAAGUCACGCCAACUAGAUCUUUAAAAGACAUAGUUACACUAUUGCAAAAUGUAAAUAAGUUUCUUGGCCAUACGCCUGAUUCUGAUGA